rnacentral:rRNA from 1 species
CCUACGGGGGGCUGCAGUGAGGAAUAUUGGUCAAUGGGCGCGAGCCUGAACCAGCCAAGUAGCGUGAAGGAUGACUGCCCUACGGGUUGUAAACUUCUUUUAUAAAGGAAUAAAGUUAGGCACGUGUGCCUUUUUGUAUGUACUUUAUGAAUAAGGAUCGGCUAACUCCGUGCCAGCAGCCGCGGUAAUACGGAGGAUUCGAGCGUUAUCCGGAUUUAUUGGGUUUAAAGGGAGCGUAGAUGGUUUGUUAAGUCAGUUGUGAAAGUUUGCGGCUCAACCGUAAAAUUGCAAUUGAUACUGGCAGUCUAGAGUACAGUUGAGGUAGGCGGAAUUCGUGGUGUAGCGGUGAAAUGCUUAGAUAUCACGAAGAACUCCGAUUGCGAAGGCAGCUUACUAAACUGCCACUGACAUUGAUGCUCGAAAGUGUGGGUAGCAAACAGGAUUAGAUACCCCUGUAGUC